GAUGAACGCUGGCGGCGUGCCUAAUACAUGCAAGUCGAACGCUGGAGAUCUAGCUUGCUAGAUCGAAGGAGUGGCGAACGGGUGAGUAAUACAUAAGCAACCUACCCACGAAGACUGGGAUAAUCUCUGGAAACGGGGACUAAUACCGGAUAGGUAAUCGGAAGGCAUCUUCUGGUUAUUAAAGGUUAAAAACACUGGUGGAUGGGCUUAUGGCGCAUUAGUUAGUUGGUGAGGUAACGGCCCACCAAGACGAUGAUGCGUAGCCGGCCUGAGAGGGUGAACGGCCACAUUGGGACUGAGACACGGCCCAGACUCCUACGGGAGGCAGCAAUAGGGAAUUUUCGGCAAUGGGGGCAACCCUGACCGAGCAACGCCGCGUGAGUGAAGACGGCCUUCGGGUUGUAAAGCUCUGUUGUAAGGGAAGAACGGUAGAUAGAGAAUAUCUAAGUGACGGUACCUUACCAGAAAGCCACGGCUAACUACGUG
rnacentral:rRNA from 1 species